UACGUAGGGUGCAAGCGUUGUUCGGAAUUACUGGGCGUAAAGGGUCUGUAGGUGGCUUGCUAAGUCAGACGUGAAAUCCCCAGGCUCAACCUGGGAACUGCGUCUGAUACUGGAUGGCUUGAAUUCGGGGAGAGGGAUGCAGAAUUCCAGGUGUAGCGGUGAAAUGCGUAGAUAUCUGGAGGAAUACCGGUGGCGAAGGCGGCAUCCUGGACCCGACAUUGACGCUGAUGAGCGAAAAGCGUGGGGGAGCAAACAGGG
rnacentral:rRNA from 1 species